rnacentral:rRNA from 1 species
AACGAAGGAUGCAAGCGUUAUCCGGAUUCAUUGGGUUUAAAGGGAGCGUAGGUGGCCUUAUAAGUCAGUGGUGAAAUCUCUCAGCUUAACUGAGAAAUUGCCAUUGAUACUGUAGGGCUUGAGUACAGAUGCCGUUGGCGGAAUAUGACAUGUAGUGGUGAAAUACAUAGAGAUGUCAUAGAACACCGAUUGCGAAGGCAGCUGACGAAACUGUAACUGACACUGAGGCUCGAAAGUGCGGGGAUCAAACAGG